rnacentral:ncRNA from 1 species
CAAUCUGAGAGGAUAAGGUUUGGUCCUAGCCUUACCAUCAACUGUUUCUCAAUUUACACAUGCAAGUCUCAGCACACCCGUGAGAACGCCCUUUCAACCUUAACCAGGCCAAGGAGCUGGCAUCAGGCUCAACCUUCUGCCCAUAACGCCUAGUCUCACCACACCCCCAAGGGUAUUCAGCAGUGAUAAAUCUUGCGUAUAAGCGAUAGCUUGACUCAGUUAGAGAAAAGAGGGCCGGCUAACCCGGUGCCAGCCGCCGCGGCUACACCGUGGGGCCCGAGCUGAUGGUCAUCGGCGUUAAGCGUGAUUAAAGUUCCCACCAAUUAGGGUUAAAUUAACACUUAGUAGUGAUAAGCUUGUUGUUAAGAAAACCGUAAACGAAAGUUACCCUAAUUACACUUGAAUACACGACAGCUAGGAAGACAAACUGGGAUUAGAUACCCCACUAUGCCUAGCCGUAAACAAUUAACUCACACCAACCAACGCCAGGGAAUUACGAGCUAUGCUUAAAACCCAAAGGACUUGACGGUGUCCCACCCACCUAGAGGAGCCUGUUCUAUAAUCGAUGAUCCCCGAUACACCUAACCAUUCCUCGCCCAUCAGUCUGUAUACCUCCGUCGAAAGCCUACCAUGUGAACGCUUACAGUAGGCCCAAUGAUCCUCAUCAACACGUCAGGUCAAGGUGCAGCUUACGGAAUGGAAAGCAAUGGGCUACAAUUUCUAGUUUAGAACAAACGAAAGACUCUGUGAAACCUUAGUCAUGAAGGCGGAUUUAGUAGUAAAAGGAAAAUAGAGUGUUCCUUUUAACCUGGCUCUGGGACGCGUACACACCGCCCGUCACCCUCUUCGAUAGCACUUCACCCAGGUAUUUAACCCAAUACCGCAUCUUAGAAGAGGCAAGUCGUAACACGGUAAGUGUACUGGAAAGUGCACUUGGUCUACAACAAGAUAUAGCUUAAUUUAAAGCCCUCCGCUUACACCGGAGAAAUGUCUGUUCAACUCGGACUAUUCUUGAGCCUAAAAUCUAGCCCUACUCCACCCGCAUGAACACCUUAACCCUAUGCCCUUCAAACAAAACAUUUUAACAUUUUAGUACAGCCGAUCCAAAAAAAUUACCGC